rnacentral:rRNA from 1 species
GAUGAACGCUGGCGGCGUGCUUAACACAUGCAAGUCGAACGAUGAAGCCCAGCUUGCUGGGUGGAUUAGUGGCGAACGGGUGAGUAACACGUGAGUAACCUGCCCUUAACUCUGGGAUAAGCCUGGGAAACUGGGUCUAAUACCGGAUAGGAGCGUCCACCGCAUGGUGGGUGUUGGAAAGAUUUAUCGGUUUUGGAUGGACUCGCGGCCUAUCAGCUUGUUGGUGAGGUAAUGGCUCACCAAGGCGACGACGGGUAGCCGGCCUGAGAGGGUGACCGGCCACACUGGGACUGGGACACGGCCCAGACUCCUACGGGAGGCAGCAGUGGGGAAUAUUGCACAAUGGGCGCAAGCCUGAUGCAGCGACGCCGCGUGGGGGAUGACGGCCUUCGGGUUGUAAACCUCUUUCAGUAGGGAAGAAGCGAAAGUGACGGUACCUGCAGAAGAAGCACCGGCUAACUACGUG